rnacentral:rRNA from 1 species
UACCCGCUGAACUUAAGCAUAUCAAUAAGCGGAGGAAAAGAAACCAACAGGGAUUGCCUUAGUAACGGCGAGUGAAGCGGCAAGAGCUCAGAUUUGAAAUCUGGCGUCUUUUUGACGUCCGAGUUGUAAUCUGUAGAGGAGAGUUCGAGCAUGGCUUUGGCUUAAGUUCCUUGGAACAGGGCGUCAUGGAGGGUGAGAAUCCCGUACAUGGCCUUUGUCUUAUGCUUAUGUGAACCUCCUUCAACGAGUCGAGUUGUUUGGGAAUGCAGCUCUAAAUGGGUGGUAAAUUUCAUCUAAAGCUAAAUACUGGCAGGAGACCGAUAGCGCACAAGUAGAGUGAUCGAAAGAUGAAAAGAACUUUGGAAAGAGAGUUAAAUAGUACGUGAAAUUGUUGAAAGGGAAGCACUUGCUCCCAGACUUGCCUGCAUCUGAUCAACCGUCAUUCUUGAUGGUGCACUUGGUUGCAGGCAGGCCAGCAUCAGUUCAAGUGGUGAGAAAAAGGUGCAGGGAAUGUGGCUCCUUUCGGGGAGUGUUAUAGCCCUGUACGUAAUGUCAUCUACCUGGACUGAGGUCCGCGCUUUAGCGAGGAUGCUGGCGUAAUGGUCGUAAGUGACCCGUCUUGAAACACGGACCAAGGAGUCUAACAGCUGUGCGAGUGUUUGGGUGUAAAACCCUCACGCGGAAUGAAAGUGAAUGGAGGUGGGAACCGCAAGGUGCACCAUCGACCGAUCCUGAUGUCUUCGGAUGGAUUUGAGUAGGAGCAUAGCUGUUGGGACCCGAAAGAUGGUGAACUAUGCCUGAAUAGGGUGAAGCCAGAGGAAACUCUGGUGGAGGCUCGCAGCGGUUCUGACGUGCAAAUCGAUCGUCAAAUUUGGGUAUAGGGGCGAAAGACUAAUCGAACCAU